UACGGCGGGUGCAAGCGUUAAUCGGAAUUACUGGGCGUAAAGCGUGCGUAGGCGGCUGCUUAAGUCAGAUGUGAAAGCCCCGGGCUUAACCUGGGAACGGCAUUUGAUACUGGGCAGCUCGAGUUGAGUAGAGGAGAGGGGAAUUUCCGGUGUAGCGGUGAAAUGCGUAGAGUUCGGAAGGAACACCAGUGGCGAAGGCGCCUCUCUGGACUCAAACUGACGCUGAGGUACGAAAGCGUGUGUAGCAAACAGG
rnacentral:rRNA from 1 species